UACGUAGGGGGCGAGCGUUGUCCGGAAUGACUGGGCGUAAAGGGCGUGUAGGCGGCUUUUUAAGUCUGGAGUGAAAGUCCUGCUUUCAAGGUGGGAAUUGCUUUGGAAACUGGAGAGCUUGAGUGCGGAAGAGGUAAGUGGAAUUCCCAGUGUAGCGGUGAAAUGCGUAGAGAUUGGGAGGAACACCAGUGGCGAAGGCGACUUACUGGGCCGUAACUGACGCUGAGGCGCGAAAGCGUGGGGAGCGAACAGGAUUAGAUACCCUGGUAGUCCACGCGGUAAACGAUGAAUGCUAGGUGUAGGGGGUAUCGACCCCUCCUGUGCCGGAGUAAACACAAUAAGCAUUCCGCCUGGGGAGUACGGCCGCAAGGUUGAA
rnacentral:rRNA from 1 species